rnacentral:rRNA from 1 species
UACGGAGGAGGCAAGCGUUAUCCGGAAUUAUUGGGCGUAAAGCGUCCGCAGGUGGCACCUCAAGUCUGCUGUCAAAGACCGGGGCUUAACCCCAGAAAGGCAGUGGAAACUGAAGUGCUAGAGUGGCAGUAGGGGUAGAGGGAAUUCCCGGUGGUAGCGGUGGAAAUGCGUAGAGAUCGGGAAGAACAUCGGUGGCGAAAGCGCUCUGCUGGACUGCAACUGACACUCAGGGACGAAAGCUAGGGGAGCGAAUGGG